UGAGCUAAAGGAACAGUACUGAUGCUGGUGAUGGCGGCGAACACUCCGCGCAUCUGUCUGCACAUAACACGAAUGAGAUAGCUAUUGACUAAACAGCUGCCGUAAUUACUGUAGGCUUCAGGUAUUAACCCUUUGUACUCAGGAAUGUCCAGCCAAUACAAGCGUCCAUCAAUUACUAGUGCAGGCGGCAAACGGCGAUCUGGUAGCACUAAAUUUGAACUCUCUGAGGAACAGAAGACUGACAUCAAGGAAGCUUUUGAUCUCUUUGAUCCUAAUGGCACAGGCACAAUUGAUCCCAAGGAACUCAAGGUAGCCAUGAGAGCACUGGGGUUUGAGCCUAAGAAGGAAGAGAUUAAGAAGAUGGUUGCUGAAAUUGAUAAAGAUGAGAGCGGCAAAAUCAAGUUUGAAGAAUUUCUGCACCUCAUGACUAUCAAGAUGGCCGAGAAAGAUGUGAAAGAGGAAAUCUUGAAAGCAUUUAAGCUGUUUGAUGAUGAUAGUACUGGCAAGAUCUCCUUUGCCAACUUAAAGCGUGUUGCAGAGACCUUAGGUGAGAACUUGACUGAUGAGGAGCUGCAAGAAAUGAUUGAAGAAGCUGAUCGAGACGGUGAUAACGAAAUUAACCAGGAUGAGUUCUUCCGCAUAAUGAAGAAAACUAGUUUGUAUUAAUUUACUUACUGGAAAUAUAUUUGACUUUAUAUGAGGCACUAGUCCAAGCUUCCAAUACAGUGACAGAAAAAUCUAAAAGGCCCAGAAGAGUUUGCCACAUGCUUUAAGAACUCCCACACCAAGAGAAAAUAAUAGCUCACACAAUGGGAAGUGCCAUCUCAACUCUUCAUAGCUCACAUAUAAAAUUAGCUGAACAUCAACUACCACGGUGACUGAAGCUGGAAGGUAGAGUAUGAAUAACACAGUCUAUAUGACAUUACAUAGCAAUUCUAGUAUGGCUAAAUAAAGAGAACAUUGAUUAAGUGGGCAGCUUCAAUCACUGUGGACUAGAGCUCAGAAAGCUGGGAGUGUCAUAAUAAAGCUUUACUCACUGUACUGUUUGUUAUAAAAGAAAGUGGCUGCCACACCAACAGCUGUGUGACUGGAGGGGUCAGGCAUCAGGUCACAUGGACACAUUGGGGCAUGCUGGGUUAAGCACCAAUUCAGCAGUCUUGAUAAAGAGUCAUAUCUGCUUUUAAAUACUAUAAAUUUUUUAUUAGUAUUUUUUAAAUUAAAGCUCAUAAUUCUUUACACUUAACCUCUAGCAAAUGCAUAUACAUGUUGUUGGAUAAGACAUGCUAUGGUAAUAGAGUAUUUAAUAAUGAGCAAAAGGUUUCUGUGUGGUGAAAAGUGAGGCAGUAAAACAAGCACUUGAAUGACAGUUUUGGAUUUGUACCCCAAUUACUGAUUGAAAUAGAAGUUAUGACCCCUUGUUGCCCAGGUACCCACAGCAUGCCCUGUAUCAUGCCGGAG